rnacentral:tRNA from 1 species
GCCCCUGUAGCUCAGUGGACAGAGUGUCUGGCUACGAACCAGAAGGUCGGAGGUUCGACUCCUCCCAGGGGUAC